AACUUUUAAUAACAGAUCUCUUGGUUCCAGCAUUAAUGAAGAAUGCAGCAAAAUGCAAUAAGUAAUGUGAAUUACAGAAUUUCA
rnacentral:rRNA from 1 species